rnacentral:lncRNA from 1 species
UUUGUUUCAAUAACCGUGAAUCAAGCCAUGUUACAUCCUUCAAAAACCUAAUUGAAGUAAGGUUUAUUCUGAAAGCAUACUACAUCAAGGUUGUGUAAACUGACUCCUAGAGAUUUGCUAAUAUUCUAUUCUCACUGUAUAACUCACACAUUAGCUAAAAUCAACACUGCGUUUGGACUCAUGGUCCACUCGUCACACACUACCACAACAC